CAUGAGUAUUUUGUACUUGCAUUGUAAUACCUAUUUCUCAUGAAUGGAUAAUUUGUCUUUUCUCCAGGAUUAUAAUGAAUAUUUCAGGGAUCUGAAUCAUAUAUGCGUCAUCAAUGAGAAUGGCAAAAAGAAAUAUUCCAUCCCACAGUAAAGACAAAAAAAGGCAGCUGAUAUCCAGACAGUUGACGCUUGCUAUCUGACCUGGAAUUGCUACUUAACUGACCUUUCGAUUCCUGGUUCUAACCAAUGUAGAUCUCCUUACCUCAGUGUAUCACGUGAUUAGUCAGGUAAUAAGGAUUGAGUACCUGAUCAUCUCAGGCAUACAUCUUGACCAAACACCAAAUCCUCCAAAGCAGGAUUAUAGAAAAUGUAUGAAAAGAGUAGGGAGAAUAUUGGUGCUGGCAAUGUUUUGUGCAGACUAGAUUUAGAGAUUACUUAGGGGACUGAAUUAACUUCGUUAUUUUACUCCUACAUGUACAAAUGAGAAAGUAUUUGGUAAUAAAACAGAUGAAGUUGAGGUAAUUGA